rnacentral:rRNA from 1 species
GAUGAACGCUAGCGGCAGGCUUAACACAUGCAAGUCGAGGGGUAACAGGGAUUGCUUGCAAUCCGCUGACGACCGGCGCACGGGUGCGUAACGCGUAUACAAUCUACCUUUUACAGAGGGAUAGCCCAGAGAAAUUUGGAUUAAUACCUCAUGGCAUUAUUAACUGGCAUCGGUUUGAUAAUUAAAACUUCGGUGGUAAAAGAUGAGUAUGCGUUCUAUUAGCUAGUUGGUACGGUAACGGCGUACCAAGGCUACGAUAGAUAGGGGCCCUGAGAGGGGGAUCCCCCACACUGGUACUGAGACACGGACCAG